AUCAUGGAAAAGAUAUUGCCCCUUAUGCAUAAUAAAGGGGAAAUUUGACCCUUUUUCAUUUUCUCUUUAGAAAAUUGAAGCUCAGAUUUGUGUUAUGAUAAGGCCAACGAGAAGCCAAUCACGCCAUGGAUGCAACACAGUUGCAUGUGUGAGUUAUGCGUCUCAAUUACAGGCCAUACCGUGUUGUCAUGCCAAGGUACGGGUUGGGUACUCUCCAUGCCCGAAAUCUUGCUAGCCCAGAAAUCAUCACUGCCUCUUUAAUAGUUUUCAUAGUCAUUUUAUAGUUGUAGUAUAGUUGUGUAUACAUAUGUCUUAAGGGUGGUGCAAACUGCAAAUAAACCCAGAAACUCAAUUGUACUCUCUCUGUCUCUUUCUUUUGAAG
rnacentral:misc_RNA from 1 species